AGAGUUUGAUCAUGGCUCAGAAUGAACGCUGGCGGCACGCUUAACACAUGCAAGUCGAACGAGAUCUUCGGAUCUAGUGGCAGACGGGUGAGUAACGCGUGGGAACCUGCCCAGUAGUAGAGAAUAACUUGGGGAAACUUAAGCUAAUACUUUAUACGUCCUUCGGGAGAAAGCUUUAUGCGCUAUUGGAUGGGCCCGCGUUAGAUUAGUUUGUUGGUGAGGUAAUGGCUCACCAAGGCGACGAUCUAUAGCUGGUCUGAGAGGAUGAUCAGCCACACUGGGACUGAGACACGGCCCAGACUCCUACGGGAGGCAGCAGUGGGGAAUAUUGGACAAUGGGGGCAACCCUGAUCCAGCGAUGCCGCGUGAGUGAUGAAGGCCCUAGGGUUGUAAAACUCUUUCGUCAGGGAAGAUAAUGACGGUACCUGAAGAAGAAGAUCCGGCUAACUCCGUGCCAGCAGCCGCGGUAAUACGGAGGGGUCUAGCGUUAUUCGGAAUUACUGGGCGUAAAGCGAGCGUAGGCGGAUUUGUAAGUUGGAGGUGAAAUCCCAGAGCUUAACUCUGGAACUGCCUUCAAAACUACAUUUCUUGAGUUUGGUAGAGGAGAGUGGAAUUCCUAGUGUAGAGGUGAAAUUCGUAGAUAUUAGGAGGAACACCAGUGGCGAAGGCGACUCUCUGGGCCAAUACUGACGCUGAGGUUCGAAAGCAUGGGUAGCGAACAGGAUUAGAUACCCUGGUAGUCCAUGCAGUAAACGAUGAGUGCUAGAUGUUGGGAAUUUAAAUUUCCAGUAUCGCAGUUAACGCGUUAAGCACUCCGCCUGGGAAGUACGGCCGCAAGGCUAAAACUCAAAUGAAUUGACGGGGACCCGCACAAGCGGUGGAUCAUGUGGUUUAAUUCGAAGAUACGCGAAGAACCUUACCGGCCCUUGACAUACCAAUCGCGGACUUAAGAGAUUAAGUCUUUCACUUCGGGUGGAUUGGAUACAGGUGCUGCAUGGCUGUCGUCAGCUCGUGUCGUGA
rnacentral:rRNA from 1 species